GUAGCAAUGGGGCAGGAUGGAUAAUCCUCUCACUGAGGGGAUGGUGAAUAACUGGAAACAGUGACCAAUCUGCUGCCGUUCACCAUCUUGGUUGCAAAUAUCACUCCCGUCUCUUGCAUGGGCGUGGUGGAUUGGAGAUGGCUGCAGAUUCUUAGUCAUUACUCUCAGCAAGACCUGGAGUCUUUUCCUCCUCCCCUUGGAUCUGGGCUGACUCCAGGACUGGCUUUCAUCAACAGGAUGCAGCAGAAGCGACGCUGUGUGACUUCCGAGGCUGAGGCUGCAGAGAUUUGAGGCAUCUGCUCUCACCCAGCUUGAAGUGCUUCCUCUUGGAAGCCAGCCACCGUGAAAAACCCCGCCAUGCUGUGAGGAAGCCCAAGAGAGCUGCAUGGAGAGAAGGGCCUGUGGAAGAGCCCUGAGGUGCCACUCACAUGAAGUGAACCUUUGUGGACCUUCCAGCCCAGCUACCAGCAAAACGCAAGCAGCGAGUCUCCAGGCCCAGCCUGCUUUUAACAAGACAGUGAAGAGUGGCAGUUAAAGGUCUGGCUGGCAUCAGACAGUGCUGAAUUCAAACACCAGCUGAGCUGAAAACGGCCUGACUGGGUGACCUUGAGCAAGCAGCCUGCCCUCUCUGAGGCUCAGUUUAUUUUCUGGAAGGGAGAAGACGGUGUCUACUUCCAAUGACCGCCAUGAUGUUUCAGGUUCAGCCCGAAGGGUGAGCAGCCAAUAAAGAGUGCCGAGAACGGCCUCUGGCCUGCCAGGUAGAGAAAUGACCUGAUUCCUUCCAGAAGUUUCCAGUGUUCCCAAGCUGAUGAGGCUCCUGGGAGAUGCCUCCAGAUCUCUUAACGUUCAGGGAAGCAUGGGCUCUGGUUGCAUUAGGGAGGAUUUAUUUUAUUUUUAAAGGAGUUGAGGCCACUUUGCAAUCAGAGCCUUCGUGGCUGGAGCUGGGCGAGCUGAGGAAGGAGUAUUAAUCAAGGCGCUUUAAGGACAUGCAAAUCAGGAGAAAGCUCAAGUGAUUAGGGUGUGAUGGGGCCUGGAGUCCAGCCUAUAUCCCCAUCUGAGAAGAGAGAGCCAGAGUGCCAGGCAAGGUGGCUCAGGCCCAGCUGGGGGCGGCAGCCAAGGGGCUGCCAUGGGGCCAGGAACUGUGGGUUGGGAGCAAUUGGAGGCAGAGGGAAGGGAGCCACUCCAAGGUGGCUGAAGGGUCCCUGAUGCCUGCGCUGUCCACAUGGUACUCUGGCUGGCUUCCCCGCCUCCCCCACAGCUGCAGAGGGGCUGCUCUGGCAUGAUCCCCUGCCUGGCUGGGACAGGCCCCUCUUCCUAAGGAUACAGAAUGGUUAUUUGGGUGAGAGGGGCCCACCGGCGCUGCUGGGGGCGGGAUGGCGAAUGUGACGUCAGCGAUCUGCGGUAUCUUCAGGGUGACAGCCGUACCCCCCGCGUGGGACCCAGGGCUCCACAUCUAUAGACCUGACCCAAGGAAAGACUCAGGCCUGUGCACAAGGAUGCCAUCUCGGGGACUGCGUAUUCAUAAGAAGCUGAAUCAAACAGUGUCCAACAAGGGGGGUUGUUCGAGCUGGUUAUGGGACGUGUUUACCACGGACGUUCAGGUCCUCCUGAGAAAUGACGACCUAGACAUGGGAAGAUGGUUGCAAUGUAUUGUUCCGCAAAGGAGAAAAAAAGCAGGUUGCAAAACCCUGGGAACUGUCUGCCCACCUUCAAAAAGUCGGUCAUAUAUCUAGAAAAAUCUGGAAGGGUAGCCACAAAAACAUCAUCAGUAGGUACUUUGGAGAGGUUAUUGUUACUUUCCCCUUUUAUGUUAAUUUUUGUGCAAUAAACAUAUAUGUAUUUGUAA
ensembl:lncRNA novel transcript